AUGACGAAUAGAGAGGAUUUCAUCCAUUUCUCCGGUUUUACCCAACAACCGGGGCGCCUCAGCCUUCCUAGGGCGCCAUCAACCUCAGGCUCUUCCUCGGGAGAUCCCAAUGGGCAAGAAGGCCUCCUGCCGAUCGCCAACGUGGGGCGGAUCAUGAAGGACGUGCUGCCGCCGGAGGCCAAGGUCUCGAAGCACGCCAAGGAGGUGAUCCAGGAGUGCGCCACGGAGUUCAUCGGCUUCGUCACCGGCGAGGCCUCGGAGCGAUGCCGGCGGGAGCGGCGCAAGACGGUGAACGGCGACGACAUCUGCCACGCCAUGACCACCCUUGGCCUCGACAACUACGCCGGUGCCAUGCGCAGGUACCUGCAGAGGUACCGCGAG
rnacentral:rRNA from 1 species